UUUCAGUUUUACCUCUAGGCAUUGUCUAUUAUUGUUUUCAAGAAAUUUGAAGAGAAAAAAGAAAAAAAGAAAAAAAAAAUAACUUCAAGAAAUUGCUUCUGAUAGAUGAUUCAUUCCCCCUGUUCAUUUCUUUUUGAUUUAAACAUGGAAGGGGAGCUUGGAUAUCUUGAAGCUGUUUUGUAGACAUUUCUUCUCCAGGUG
rnacentral:misc_RNA from 1 species